CAUAAUUAUUUCCUGGAUUUUGUAUCAUCAUAGUCCCUAAAUGUAUGUAGAAAUGGGAUUCAAAUCGAAAACAUUUUUCUGGCGGAGGACCCCUAGACCCCCUAUUUUUGUGCGCCCCCCCUCUU